AGGCAUGUGCACGCCCUGCUCAUCCACUCUACACCUGUGCACUUACUGUAGGUUUGGUGUGGGCUUCGGGGGCCUCCGGGCUUUCGAGGCAUUCUGCCGGCCUAUGUAACACUACAAACACAUAAAGUAACAGAAUGUCAUCGCGUCUAACGCACAUAAAUACAACUUUCAGCAACGGAUCUCUUGGCUCUCGCAUCGAUGAAGAACGCAGCGAAAUGCGAUAAGUAAUGUGAAUUGCAGAAUUCAGUGAAUCAUCGAAUCUUUGAACGCACCUUGCGCUCCUUGGUAUUCCGAGGAGCAUGCCUGUUUGAGUGUCAUGGAAUUCUCAACCCACACGUCCUUGUGAUGAUGCGGGCUUGGAUUUGGAGGCUUGCUGGCCCUUGUGGGUCAGCUCCUCUUGAAUGCAUUAGCUUGAUUCCGUGCGAACCGGCUCUCAGUGUGAUAAUUGUCUACGCUGUGACCGUGAAGCGUUUUGGCAAGCUUCUAAUCGUCCCAUAAGGGACAACAAACCUUGACAUCUGACCUCAAAUCAGGUAG
rnacentral:rRNA from 1 species